CGGUGAGGUGUCUGAGUGGCUGAAGGAGCACGCCUGGAAAGUGUGUAUACGCGUAAGCGUAUCGAGGGUUCGAACCCCUCUCUCACCGCCAA
rnacentral:tRNA from 9 species